rnacentral:tRNA from 3 species
GCCCAGAUGGCGAAAUUGGUAGACGCACUGUCUUCAGGUGGCAGCGUUCGCAAGGAUGUGCAGGUUCGAAUCCUGUUCUGGGCACCA